rnacentral:rRNA from 1 species
GUAGGUGGCAAGCGUUGUCCGGAAUUAUUGGGCGUAAAGCGCGCGCAGGCGGUUCUUUAAGUCUGAUGUGAAAGCCCACGGGCUCAACCGUGGAGGGUCAUUGGAAACUGGAGAACUUGAGUACAGAAGAGGAAAGCGGAAUUCCACGUGUAGCGGUGAAAUGCGUGGAGAUGUGGAGGAACACCAGUGGCGAAGGCGGCUUUCUGGUCUGUAACUGACGCUGAGGCGCGAAAGCGUGGGGAGCAAACAGGAUUAGAUACCCUGGUAGUCCACGCCGUAAACGAUGAGUGCUAAGUGUUAGGGGGUUUCCGCCCCUUAGUGCUGCAGCUAACGCAUUAAGCACUCCGCCUGGGGAGUACGGCCGCAAGGCUG